rnacentral:rRNA from 1 species
AGAGGCCCCAAGCGUUACUGAGAAUCACCGGGUUUAAAGGGUGCGUAGGUGGUCCGUUAAGUCCGUUGUGAAAUCCCUGGGCUCAACCCAGGAACUGCUUCGGAUACUGGCGGACUUGAGGCGAGUAGGGGUCACUGGAACUGACGGUGGAGCGGUGAAAUGCGUAGAUAUCGUCAGGAACGCCGAUGGUGAAGACAGGUGACUGGGCUCGAUCUGACACUGAGGCACGAAAGCGUGGGGAUCAAACGGGAUUAGAUACCCCGGUAGUCCACGCCCUAAACGAUGCAGACUAGACUGCAGCGGGUUACACCCCGUUGCGGUCGGAGCGAAAUUGUUAAGUCUGCCACCUGGGAAGUACGGUCGCAAGGCUA